ACUUGAUGGUGUGAGCAUUUAUGCAAAAGGUCCCUAAAGCGCUCCUAGGUCUCGAAAAAUUGAUCACCAUCUAUCUGUGAGAAACUAGUGAUUGCCUUCCUAAGAU